rnacentral:lncRNA from 1 species
CUUCCACCAGAAUGUCAUCCCCAUGAUGGCAGGGACCAUGUCACAUUUUUAACCUUUGCAUUUUCAGCCUGAGGUAUGUGCUGGCAUGUAGAGCGCACUUAAGAAAUAUUUGUUGAAUCCCUCGAAACAUUAUUUCCUUCUAUCUCCAGUCUGCAUUCAAAGUGCCUCACUUCAAGCCCUCUCUUGCCAUCAGCCUGAAUCUCUGGGUUCGCCUGCCCUUGUGCCCACCAUUCUGCAAGAGCUGGGCUCAGAAUAAUCCUCCUGAAUUUGCCCCUCCUAUUACUGGAAUUCUGAGCACCACUGAGAAAAUACAACAACUGUGAAGGCCCACAUAGAAAGAAAUAAAGCAAAAAGAUUUCUUCAAGCAACAGGAAAACGAUCCUGGAUGGAGGCACAGUAGUGAAUGAAAGAAUGAAGAGCUCCAGGAAGAGAAAGAAGGCAAAUCUAAAUGAAUGUAGAUGUUUAAACCAAUGAUAGUAAUGUCUUGUGAGAUUUAAAAUAUAUAUAAACUGAAAACACAUAGCAAUAAUAGCAAAAAGGUGAAAGGUCGGUAAAUGGUUUUAAAGUAUUUUUAGGUCCUUUCACUGUCUGAGAGGUGCUAAAAUUGCUAACAUGUUAGACUCUAAUAAAUCAAAGUGUCUUUCAUACUACCUAGGGUACAUUAAAAGAGUAACCAAUAAUGUGCAAUCAAUAAGCUAAGAGGAGGAAAAUAGAAUGAUAAAAUAAUAGAUUAAUCCAAAAGAAAGCAAAAAAGAAAAAGCUGAUAAUACCAAAAAAUAUUAACAUGAUAGAUUUAACUGAAUCACAAUUUUAUUACAUGUAAAUGGUCUAGUAUUUCCAAUUAAAGUUCUAAGGUGCCUAGACUGUGUAAAAAUAAAAUAUUAACUAUAACAACCAGGAAACUUGAAAGUAAAAGGAUGGAAAAUGAUAUAUCAUGGAAACACUAACUAAAAGAAAAUUGCAGUAGCUAUACUAGUAACCAAAAAUAUUGACUUUAAGGUAGUGAGUAUUACUAGAAAUAAAAGGGACAGAUUUAUUUUUACAAAAGGUCAAUUCAGCAUGAAGAUAUUACAUUUCUAGAUUUGUGCAUAACUAAAAGCCUAGCCACAAACUAUAGAAAAACAAAAUAUUACCAGAAAUAAAAGAAGUAGAUAAAUGCAAUAAUGGGUGGAAAUUAUAUACAAAACUGAUAAAACAAGUGGAGACAAAUAUAUCAAUGAAAACAAAGACUCAAACUACACGAUCAACAAGUUUGAUUGUCAUAAUUACAUAAAUAAUACGCAAUUUUCUCAAGUACAGAGAGAAUAUUUACCAACUUUAUCCUUUGACUGGGCCAUAAAUCAAAUUACAGCAAAUCUUAGGGGAAAAAAGAUUGAAAUCAUAAGGAGUGUGAUUUUUUUGAUCUCAGUGGAAUUAAGCUGGAAACUAAUUUAAAGAAAACUAGAAAAUCGUCACCUAUUUGAAAACUAAACAAUGUAUUUCUAAAUAACUUAUGAGUUAAAG